UACGGGAGGCAGCAGUGAGGAAUUUUCCGCAAUGGGCGAAAGCCUGACGGAGCAAUACCGCGUGAGGGAUGAAGGCCUCUGGGCUGUAAACCUCUUUUAUCAAGGAAGAAGAUCUGACGGUACUUGAUGAAUAAGCCACGGCUAAUUCCGUGCCAGCAGCCGCGGUAAUACGGGAGUGGCAAGCGUUAUCCGGAAUCAUUGGGCGUAAAGCGUCUGUAGGUGGCUUAAUAAGUCUGUUGUUAAAGGUUAGGGCUCAACCCUAAAAAAGCAAUGGAAACUGUUAAGCUUGAGUAUGGCAGGGGUAGAGGGAAUUUCUAGUGUAGCGGUGAAAUGCGUAGAUAUUAGAAAGAACACCGGUGGCGAAGGCGCUCUGCUGGGCCAUCACUGACGCUCAUGGACGAAAGCCAGGGGAGCGAAAGGGAUUAGAUACCCCUGUAGUCCUGGCCGUAAACGAUGAACACUAGGUGUCGGGGGAAUCGACCCCUCCGGUGUCGUGGCCAACGCGUUAAGUGUUCCGCCUGGGGAGUACGCACGCAAGUGUGAAACUCAAAGGAAUUGACGG
rnacentral:rRNA from 1 species